rnacentral:lncRNA from 1 species
GUCCAGGCAGCUGUCGAUGUCCAGCACCUACUGCCCGGCAGGUGUGGGGCUCAGGCUCCCAGCCACCUGCAGGACGACGGCAGUGGUCAGCGGGCGGCAGCUCAGACCUGCUCAGGACAGGGAUGAGAAGCCACCUCCUCAGCAGACAGGACAGAGCCCGGUGCCAUCUAACAGAAUGUCCUAGAAUGCUGGAUAUAUGGGACAUCUGCACCGUCCGUGAUGGCAGCCCCUCGCGACAUGUGCCACUGAACACUUGACAGCAGACUGGUGCAGCUAAGGAACAGAGUUUUGAAUUUCAUUUUUUUUUUUUUUUUAAGAUGGAGUCUCGCUCUGUCACCCAGGCAGGAGUGCACUGGCGCAAUCUCAGCUCACUGCAACCUCCACCUCCCGCGUUCAGGCGAUUGUCCUGGCUCAGCCUCCUGAGUAGCUGGGAUUACAGGUGCCUGCCACGAUGCCCAGCUAAUUUUUUGUAUUUUUAGUAGAGACGGGGUUUCACUGUGUUGGCCAGGCUGGUCUUGGAACUCCUGACCUCAAGUGAUCUGCCCGCCUCCGCCUCCCAAAGUGCUGGGAUUACAGGUGUGAGCCACCACGCCCGGCCAACGUUCCAUUUUAAUUAACUUAAAUACGAGCAGCCACAUGUGGCCUCUGGUUCCUGCCACGGACUCGGGAGCAACCCCUCCUGGUCGCGGCUUAUGCGCCUUCUCUGUGUGCUGCUGGGGUUAGUUUGCAUGUAACCUCUUGAGGACCCCACGUGUGCAUUCCUAAGGGGUGCGGCCUCCCGUUUCCGUAUGAAUGGGAAGAGUUCCCACCUGCUGUAUUCUUGGAAAGAGUCUGUGAAGGAUUGGUGUUAAUUCUUCCUUAACUGCUUAGAAAAAUUCUAUCGUGAAGGCUCUGAGCCCAAG